rnacentral:rRNA from 1 species
CCUACGGGAGACUGCAGUGGGGAAUAUUGCACAAUGGGGGAAACCCUGAUGCAGCGACGCCGCGUGAGCGAUGAAGUAUUUCGGUAUGUAAAGCUCUAUCAGCAGGGAAGAAAAUGACGGUACCUGACUAAGAAGCCCCGGCUAACUACGUGCCAGCAGCCGCGGUAAUACGUAGGGGGCAAGCGUUAUCCGGAUUUACUGGGGGUAAAGGGAGCGUAGACGGCAGCGCAAGUCUGGAGUGAAAUGCCGGGGCCCAACCGCGGAACUGCUCUGGAAACUGUGGAGCUGGAGUGCAGGAGAGGUAAGCGGAAUGCCUGGUGUAGCGGUGAAAUGCGUAGAUAUCAGGAGGAACACCGGCGGCGAAGGCGGCUUACUGGAGUGUAACUGACGUUGAGGCUCGAAGGCGUGGGGAGCGAACAGGAUUAGAUACCCGAGUAGUC